UACGUAGGUGGCAAGCGUUAUCCGGAUUUAUUGGGCGUAAAGGGUCCGCAGGCGGUCUUUUAAGUUUGUGGUGAAAGCGUGGGGCUCAACCCCAUAUAGCCUCAGAUACUGGAAGACUAGAGUGCAGAAGAGGUAAGCGGAAUUCCAUGUGUAGCGGUAAAAUGCGUAGAUAUAUGGAGGAACACCGGUGGCGAAGGCGGCUUACUGGUCUGCAACUGACGUUCAGGGACGAAAGCGUGGGGAGCAAAUA
rnacentral:rRNA from 1 species